GCAUGCUCGCGACUCGGCAACGGGGAACGGCGUACAGCUCAGUAAUACUGCGAUGAUCUGGUCAGGCGCUACGAUAACCACGGGAAACUGUGGCUAACAGGCCUGGAUGAGACGCGGGUCUAUCAGCUAGUUGGUAGUGUAAUGGACUACCAAGGCGACGACGGAUGACGGGAGAUGGGGGUCUGAUUCCGGAGAGGGAGCCUGA
rnacentral:rRNA from 1 species